rnacentral:rRNA from 1 species
CAUUAUCGAGUUCUUGAACGGGUUGUAGCUGGCCUUCCGAGGUAUGUGCACGCCCUGCUCAAUCCACUCUACACCUGUGCACUUACUGUAGGUUUCUUGGUCGCGUCGGAUCCCUUNACGGGGGCUCGACAAAGCCGAGGGGCUUAUGUUUUACUACAAACUAUAAAGUAAUUGAAUGUAUACCGCGUCUAACGCAUCUAUAUACAACUUUCAGCAACGGAUCUCUUGGCUCUCGCAUCGAUGAAGAACGCAGCGAAAUGCGAUAAGUAAUGUGAAUUGCAGAAUUCAGUGAAUCAUCGAAUCUUUGAACGCACCUUGCGCUCCUUGGUAUUCCGAGGAGCAUGCCUGUUUGAGUGUCAUGAAAUUCUCAACCUACAAGCCUUUUCGGAGGUYCUUGUACGGCUUGGACUUGGAGGAUCAUUGUCGGCAGCGAUGUCGGCUCCUCUUAAACGCAUUAGCUAGUUCUCGCGGAACGGCUUUCGGUGUGAUAAUUGUCUACGCCGUGGUCGUACCGAGUAUAUGGACGAGCUUCUAAAC